AACGAACGCUGGCGGCAUGCCUAACACAUGCAAGUCGAACGAGACCUUCGGGCUUAGUGGCGCACGGGUGCGUAACGCGGGGGAACCUGCCUAUAGGUUCGGAAUAACUCAGAGAAUUAUGAGCUAAUACCGGAUGAUGUCUUCGGUCCAAAGAUUUAUCGCCCUUAGAUGGGCCUGCGUGGGAUUAGCUAGUUGGUGGGGUAAAGGCCUACCAAGGCGACGAUCCAUAGCUGGUCUGAGAGGAUGAUCAGCCACACUGGGACUGAGACACGGCCCAGACUCCUACGGGAGGCAGCAGUGGGGAAUAUUGGACAAUGGGCGAAAGCCUGAUCCAGCAAUGCCGCGUGAGUGAUGAAGGCCUUAGGGUUGUAAAGCUCUUUUACCCGAGAUGAUAAUGACAGUAUCGGGAGAAUAAGCUCCGGCUAACUCCGUG
rnacentral:rRNA from 1 species